rnacentral:rRNA from 1 species
AUUGAACGCUGGCGGCAGGCCUAACACAUGCAAGUCGAGCGGUAGCACAGAGAGCUUGCUCUCGGGUGACGAGCGGCGGACGGGUGAGUAAUGUCUGGGAAACUGCCUGAUGGAGGGGGAUAACUACUGGAAACGGUAGCUAAUACCGCAUAACGUCGCAAGACCAAAGUGGGGGACCUUCGGGCCUCAUGCCAUCAGAUGUGCCCAGAUGGGAUUAGCUAGUAGGUGGGGUAAUGGCUCACCUAGGCGACGAUCCCUAGCUGGUCUGAGAGGAUGACCAGCCACACUGGAACUGAGACACGGUCCAGACUCCUACGGGAGGCAGCAGUGGGGAAUAUUGCACAAUGGGCGCAAGCCUGAUGCAGCCAUGCCGCGUGUAUGAAGAAGGCCUUCGGGUUGUAAAGUACUUUCAGCGAGGAGGAAGGCAUUAAGGUUAAUAACCUUAGUGAUUGACGUUACUCGCAGAAGAAGCACCGGCUAACUCCGUGCCAGCAGCCGCGGUAAUACGGAGGGUGCAAGCGUUAAUCGGAAUUACUGGGCGUAAAGCGCACGCAGGCGGUCUGUUAAGUCAGAUGUGAAAUCCCCGGGCUCAACCUGGGAACUGCAUUUGAAACUGGCAGGCUUGAGUCUUGUAGAGGGGGGUAGAAUUCCAGGUGUAGCGGUGAAAUGCGUAGAGAUCUGGAGGAAUACCGGUGGCGAAGGCGGCCCCCUGGACAAAGACUGACGCUCAGUGCGAAAGCGUGGGGAGCAAACAGGAUUAGAUACCCUGUAGUCCACGCUGUAAACGAUGUCGACUUGGAGGUUGUUCCCUUGAGGAGUGGCUUCCGGAGCUAACGCGUUAAGUCGACCGCCUGGGGAGUACGGCCGCAAGGUUAAACUCAAAUGAAUUGACGGGGCCCGCACAAGCGGUGAGCAUGUGGAUUUAAUUCGAUGCAACGCGAGAACCUUAC